rnacentral:rRNA from 1 species
UUCCGGUUGAUCCUGCCGGACCCUACUGCUAUCGGGGUGGGACUAAGACAUGCAAGUCGUGCGUCUCUAAGCCAUGGUAGAGACGCGGCGUAUGGCUCAGUAACACGUGGCUAAUCUACCCUUGGGACGGGGACAACCCCGGGAAACUGGGGCUAACCCCCGAUGGGUGAGGAGGCCUGGAAUGGUUCCUCGCCGAAAGGGCGCUGAAACCAUGCUUUUCAGCGUUGCCCAAGGACGGGGCCGCGGCUGAUCAGGUUGUUGGUGGGGUAACGGCUCACCAAGCCUUUGACCAGUACGGGCCGUGAGAGCGGGAGCCCGGAGAUGGGCACUGAGACAAGGGCCCAGGCCCUACGGGGUGCAGCAGUCGCGAAAACUCCGCAAUGCGCGAAAGCGUGACGGGGCUAUCCCGAGUGCCGUCCGCUGAGGAUGGCUUUUCCACGGUGUAAUGAGCCGUGGGAAUAAGGAGAGAGCAAGACUGGUGUCAGCCGCCGCGGUAAUACCAGCUCUCCGAGUGGUAGGGACGAUUAUUGGGCUUAAAGCGUCCGUAGCCGGCCCGGUAAGUCUCUCGUCAAAUCCAGCGACCUAAUCGUUGGACUGCGAGAGAUACUGUUGGGCUAGGGGGCGGGAGAGGCCGACGGUAUUCCCGGGGUAGGGGUGAAAUCCUAUAAUCCCGGGAGGACCACCAGUGGCGAAGGCGGUCGGCUAGAACGCGCUCGACGGUGAUGGACGAAAGCUGGGGGAGCGAACCGGAUUAGAUACCCGGGUAGUCCCAGCUGUAAACGAUGCGGGCUAGGUGUCGGGGCGGUUACGAACCGCUUCAGUGCCGCAGCGAAGGCAUUAAGCCCGCCGCCUGGGGAGUACGGCCGCAAGGCUGAAACUUAAAGGAAUUGGCGGGGGG